rnacentral:rRNA from 1 species
GACGAACGCCGGCGGCGUGCCUAAUACAUGCAAGUAGAACGCUGAAGGAGGAGCUUGCUUCUCUGGAUGAGUUGCGAACGGGUGAGUAACGCGUAGGUAACCUGCCUGGUAGCGGGGGAUAACUAUUGGAAACGAUAGCUAAUACCGCAUAAUAGCAGUUAUUGCAUGAUAACUGUUUGAAAGGUGCAAUUGCACCACUACCAGAUGGACCUGCGUUGUAUUAGCUAGUUGGUGGGGUAACGGCUCACCAAGGCGACGAUACAUAGCCGACCUGAGAGGGUGAUCGGCCACACUGGGACUGAGACACGGCCCAGACUCCUACGGGAGGCAGCAGUAGGGAAUCUUCGGCAAUGGACGGAAGUCUGACCGAGCAACGCCGCGUGAGUGAAGAAGGUUUUCGGAUCGUAAAGCUCUGUUGUAAGAGAAGAACGAGUGUGAGAGUGGAAAGUUCACACUGUGACGUAUCUACCAGAAAGGACGCA